GACGAACGCUGGCGGCGUGCCUAAUACAUGCAAGUAGAACGCAGGUGAGAACGGGUGAGUAAGGCGUAGGUAACGGCGGCAUAGCGGGGGACAACGAGGGGAAACGAUAGCUAAUACCGCAUACUGUGAGAUGGACCUGCGUUGUAUUAGCUAGUUGGUGAGGUAAAGGCUCACCAAGGCGACGAUACAUAGCCGACCGGAGAGGGUGCUCGGCCCCCAUGGGCCUGAGACACGGCCCAGACUCCUACUGGAGGCCACAGUAGGGAAUCUUCGGCAAUUGACGGAAAUCUGACCGAGCAACGCCGCGGGAGUGAAGAAGGUUUUCGGAUCCUAAAACCCUGUUGUUAGAGAAGCGGUAUCUAACCAGAAAGGGACGGCUAACUACGUGCCAGCAGCCGCGGUAAUUC
rnacentral:rRNA from 1 species